GGUGGUUUGUUAAGUUGAAUGUGAAAUCCCCGGGCUCAACCUGGGAACUGCAUCCAAAACUGGCAAGCUAGAGUAGGGCAGAGGGUGGUGGAAUUUCCUGUGUAGCGGUGAAAUGCGUAGAUAUAGGAAGGAACACCAGUGGCGAAGGCG
rnacentral:rRNA from 1 species